rnacentral:tRNA from 1 species
GUGCAGUUAGCUUAAUUGGUAGAGCAUCGACCUUCUAAGUCGAGGGUUAUUGGUUCAAGUCCAAUACUGGGCA